rnacentral:rRNA from 1 species
GCUCAGGAUGAACGCUGGCGGCGUGCCUAAUACAUGCAAGUCGAGCGAACAGAUAAGGAGCUUGCUCCUUUGACGUUAGCGGCGGACGGGUGAGUAACACGUGGAUAACCUACCUAUAAGACUGGGAUAACUUCGGGAAACCGGAGCUAAUACCGGAUAACAUAUUGAACCGCAUGGUUCAAUAGUGAAAGGCGGCUUUGCUGUCACUUAUAGAUGGAUCCGCGCCGUAUUAGCUAGUUGGUAAGGUAACGGCUUACCAAGGCAACGAUACGUAGCCGACCUGAGAGGGUGAUCGGCCACACUGGAACUGAGACACGGUCCAGACUCCUACGGGAGGCAGCAGUAGGGAAUCUUCCGCAAUGGGCGAAAGCCUGACGGAGCAACGCCGCGUGAGUGAUGAAGGUCUUCGGAUCGUAAAACUCUGUUAUCAGGGAAGAACAAAUGUGUAAGUAACUGUGCACAUCUUGACGGUACCUGAUCAGAAAGCCACGGCUAACUACGUGCCAGCAGCCGCGGUAAUACGUAGGUGGCAAGCGUUAUCCGGAAUUAUUGGGCGUAAAGCGCGCGUAGGCGGUUUUUUAAGUCUGAUGUGAAAGCCCACGGCUCAACCGUGGAGGGUCAUUGGAAACUGGAAAACUUGAGUGCAGAAGAGGAAAGUGGAAUUCCAUGUGUAGCGGUGAAAUGCGCAGAGAUAUGGAGGAACACCAGUGGCGAAGGCGACUUUCUGGUCUGUAACUGACGCUGAUGUGCGAAAGCGUGGGGAUCAAACAGGAUUAGAUACCCUGGUAGUCCACGCCGUAAACGAUGAGUGCUAAGUGUUAGGGGGUUUCCGCCCCUUAGUGCUGCAGCUAACGCAUUAAGCACUCCGCCUGGGGAGUACGACCGCAAGGUUGAAACUCAAAGGAAUUGACGGGGACCCGCACAAGCGGUGGAGCAUGUGGUUUAAUUCGAAGCAACGCGAAGAACCUUACCAAAUCUUGACAUCCUUUGACCGCUCUAGAGAUAGAGUCUUCCCCUUCGGGGGACAAAGUGACAGGUGGUGCAUGGUUGUCGUCAGCUCGUGUCGUGAGAUGUUGGGUUAAGUCCCGCAACGAGCGCAACCCUUAAGCUUAGUUGCCAUCAUUAAGUUGGGCACUCUAAGUUGACUGCCGGUGACAAACCGGAGGAAGGUGGGGAUGACGUCAAAUCAUCAUGCCCCUUAUGAUUUGGGCUACACACGUGCUACAAUGGACAAUACAAAGGGCAGCUAAACCGCGAGGUCAAGCAA